GACGAACGCUGGCGGCGUGCUUAACACAUGCAAGUCGAGCGGUAAGGCCCUUUCGGGGGUACACGAGCGGCGAACGGGUGAGUAACACGUGGGUGACCUGCCCUCAGCUCUGGGAUAAGCCUGGGAAACCGGGUCUAAUACUGGAUAUGACUCCAUGACGCAUGUUGUGGGGUGGAAAGCCUUGUGCGGCUGAGGAUGGGCCCGCGGCCUAUCAGCUUGUUGGUGGGGUGAUGGCCUACCAAGGCGACGACGGGUAGCCGGCCUGAGAGGGCGACCGGCCACACUGGGACUGAGACACGGCCCAGACUCCUACGGGAGGCAGCAGUGGGGAAUCUUGCGCAAGUGGGCGAAAGCCUGACGCAGCGACGCCGCGUGAGGGAUGACGGCC
rnacentral:rRNA from 1 species